UAAUAAUAACCGAUCAUCACCGAUCAUCCUGUUCAAAAGUUUACAUCCCACCUCCUCCCCGACUCUUAACGUAUCGUAACCUUCCCGAGCGUCAGUGAAUGUUUGCACUUUCGUAAUAGUCGUGUACGAGUCCCUCGGUCGUCCUCAGUGUGAGAAGAUGGAUCUCCACAUCCUAUAGCCGCUGUUGGAAAGGGGUCAGAUAUGCAGAAGAUGCUGGAAAAGCAACUUUCAUCAAAACUAUCAGCGCUCACUAAACAUAAGCACAUCAUGUCGUGGAUCGGCCAGCUUGGGGAUGGUAAACCUGUGCAUUCGGCUGCCUGCGUAUGUGCACGUGUGUGUUUGUCUCUCUGCCACACACACAGCACAGGGGUUUCCCCUACAAGUUGUGUGGAGGUCUUGGAACUGGAGCUUGGAAUGCUUGACCUAUGAAAAGCUUGACACUUCCAGACCAGGGUCCUGAUCUAUCCAAAGAGGUGCCAUGUAAAGUAGCUGAGUUCAGCACACAGAGGUUCUUCUCUUGUUAUUUAUCAACCGAAGAUGACAUAUUAACAGUGCCGCUAAUGAGCCAGCUCUUUCUAAAGGUCACGCCUCGGUUCUGACAAGGAAAACGGUCCAAAAUUCCCGCCAUAAUGAGUUUGGCUCAGACAUGAGUGCAGGAAGUGUGUGUUAUGGCAUUUCACAGCGCCUCCAUCCAGCUGUCUCGGGGCUCAACUGCUGCUUGCGUUUUGUCAGAAUACAUUUCAACAAGUGUUUGAACCCAGGAAUGUUUGAGAGUGUGUGUGUGUGUGUGUGUGUGUGCACUAUAGAUCACUCUAAGUCAUCAUACUGAGAUGAGUACGUGAUAUUUUUGGGUUGUGAGUUUUCCAGAAUGGAAGUUCCCUACCCUGUGGCAUUUGUGUGUGUGUGUGUGUGUUUGUGUGUGUGUGUGUGUGUGUGUGUUUGCUUUGAUCACUACUGGAAGGUUUAUCUAGCA
ensembl:lncRNA